rnacentral:rRNA from 1 species
AGCGAACGCUGGCGGCAGGCCUAACACAUGCAAGUCGAACGAACUCUUCGGAGUUAGUGGCGGACGGGUGAGUAACACGUGGGAACGUGCCUUUUGGUUCGGAAUAAUUCAGGGAAACUUGUGCUAAUACCGAAUGUGCCCUUCGGGGGAAAGAUUUAUCGCCAUUAGAGCGGCCGGCGUCUGAUUAGCUAGUUGGUGAGGUAACGGCUCACCAAGGCGACGAUCAGUAGCUGGUCUGAGAGGAUGACCAGCCACACUGGGACUGAGACACGGCCCAGACUCCUACGGGAGGCAGCAGUGGGGAAUCUUGCGCAAUGGGCGAAAGCCUGACGCAGCCAUGCCGCGUGAAUGAUGAAGGUCUUAGGAUUGUAAAAUUCUUUCACCGGGGACGAUAAUGACGGUACCCGGAGAAGAAGCCCCGGCUAACUUCGUG